GUGCUCACAGCAACAGGACAUACACUAAAACUGGAAGGAUGCAGAGAAGAUUGGCAUGUUCCCCGUGCAAGGAUGCCAUGCAAAUUUGUGAAGCAUUCUGUACUUUU
ensembl:snRNA U6 U6 spliceosomal RNA